AUUGAACGCUGGCGGCAGGCCUAACACAUGCAAGUCGAGCGGUAGCACAGAGAGCUUGCUCUCGGGUGACGAGCGGCGGACGGGUGAGUAAUGUCUGGGAAACUGCCUGAUGGAGGGGGAUAACUACUGGAAACGGUAGCUAAUACCGCAUAACGUCGCAAGACCAAAGUGGGGGACCUUCGGGCCUCAUGCCAUCAGAUGUGCCCAGAUGGGAUUAGCUAGUAGGUGGGGUAACGGCUCACCUAGGCGACGAUCCCUAGCUGGUCUGAGAGGAUGACCAGCCACACUGGAACUGAGACACGGUCCAGACUCCUACGGGAGGCAGCAGUGGGGAAUAUUGCACAAUGGGCGCAAGCCUGAUGCAGCCAUGCCGCGUGUGUGAAGAAGGCCUUCGGGUUGUAAAGCACUUUCAGCGGGGAGGAAGGCGGUGAGGUUAAUAACCUCAUCGAUUGACGUUACCCGCAGAAGAAGCACCGGCUAACUCCGUGCCAGCAGCCGCGGUAAUACGGAGAGUGCAAGCGUUAAUCGGAAUUACUGGGCGUAAAGCGCACGCAGGCGGUCUGUCAAGUCGGAUGUGAAAUCCCCGGGCUCAACCUGGGAACUGCAUUCGAAACUGGCAGGCUAGAGUCUUGUAGAGGGGGGUAGAAUUCCAGGUGUAGCGGUGAAAUGCGUAGAGAUCUGGAGGAAUACCGGUGGCGAAGGCGGCCCCCUGGACAAAGACUGACGCUCAGGUGCGAAAGCGUGGGGAGCAAACAGGAUUAGAUACCCUGGUAGUCCACGCCGUAAACGAUGUCGAUUUGGAGGUUGUGCCCUUGAGGCGUGGCUUCCGGAGCUAACGCGUUAAAUCGACCGCCUGGGGAGUACGGCCGCAAGGUUAAAACUCAAAUGAAUUGACGGGGGCCCGCACAAGCGGUGGAGCAUGUGGUUUAAUUCGAUGCAACGCGAAGAACCUUACCUGGUCUUGACAUCCACAGAACUUUCCAGAGAUGGAUUGGUGCCUUCGGGAACUGUGAGACAGGUGCUGCAUGGCUGUCGUCAGCUCGUGUUGUGAAAUGUUGGGUUAAGUCCCGCAACGAGCGCAACCCUUAUCCUUUGUUGCCAGCGGUCCGGCCGGGAACUCAAAGGAGACUGCCAGUGAUAAACUGGAGGAAGGUGGGGAUGACGUCAAGUCAUCAUGGCCCUUACGACCAGGGCUACACACGUGCUACAAUGGCAUAUACAAAGAGAAGCGACCUCGCGAGAGCAAGCGGACCUCAUAAAGUAUGUCGUAGUCCGGAUUGGAGUCUGCAACUCGACUCCAUGAAGUCGGAAUCGCUAGUAAUCGUAGAUCAGAAUGCUACGGUGAAUACGUUCCCGGGCCU
rnacentral:rRNA from 1 species